UCAUGCCAAUGGCACUGCCCGGUAGCUAAAUGCGGAAAAGAUAAGUGCUGAAAGCAUCUAAGCACGAAACUUGCCCCGAGAUGAGUUCUCCCUGACUCCCUGAGAGUCCUGAAGGAACGUUGAAGACGACGACGUUGAUAGGUCGGGUGUGUAAGCGCAGCGAUGCGUUGAGCUAACCGAUACUAAUGAACCGUGAGGCUU
rnacentral:rRNA from 1 species